UACGAAGGGAGCUAGCGUUGUUCGGCAUCACUGGGCGUAAAGCGCGCGUAGGCGGCAUCGCAAGUCAGAGGUGAAAUCCCGGGGCUUAACCCCGGAACUGCCUUUGAAACUACGAUGCUAGAGGUUGGGAGAGGAGUGCGGAAUUCCUAAUGUAGCGGUGAAAUGCGUAGAUAUUAGGAGGAACACCGGUGGCGAAGGCGGCACUCUGGACCAUCACUGACGCUGAGGUGCGAAAGCGUGGGGAUCAAACAGG
rnacentral:rRNA from 1 species